rnacentral:rRNA from 1 species
AUGAACGCUGGCGGCGUGCCUCAUACAUGCAAGUCGAGCGAACGGACGAGAAGCUUGCUUCUCUGAUGUUAGCGGCGGACGGGUGAGUAACACGUGGAUAACCUACCUAUAAGACUGGGAUAACUUCGGGAAACCGUAGCUAAUACCGGAUAAUAUUUUGAACCGCAUGGUUCAAAAGUGAAAGACGGUCUUGCUGUCACUUAUAGAUGGAUCCGCGCUGCAUUAGCUAGUUGGUAAGGUAACGGCUUACCAAGGCAACGAUGCAUAGCCGACCUGAGAGGGUGAUCGGCCACACUGGAACUGAGACACGGUCCAGACUCCUACGGGAGGCAGCAGUAGGGAAUCUUCCGCAAUGGGCGAAAGCCUGACGGAGCAAUGCCGCGUGAGUGAUGAAGGUCUUCGGAUCGUAAAACUCUGUCAUUAGGGAAGAACAUAUGUGUAAGUAACUGUGCACAUCUUGACGGUACCUAAUCAGAAAGCCACGGCUAACUACGUG